rnacentral:snoRNA from 1 species
UAACCGUGGUGAGGGCAAAGAGUUUGCAAUUCUUUGUAUCUUUCCCAUGCUUGAUAUAAAGUUUCGUUGUCCUUUUGGAUAAAAGAAGAAAUUUGUUUUUUUAAAGUAG